CCUUUAACCACUGUACAGGGAUGUUGACUUCGCUGCAGGUUAGUAAACAGACAGCUGCCUCCUGGGAUGGUCCUGGUGUACUUGCCAGCUGACCUGCUGGGGUCAGGAACACUAGUACAAAGCACCAGAGACACAGGCAUGGUACGAUUCAAUGCAGUAAAAUCAGCACCCA